UACGUAGGGUGCGAGCGUUAAUCGGAAUUACUGGGCGUAAAGCGUGCGCAGGCGGUUUUGUAAGCCAGAUGUGAAAUCCCCGGGCUUAACCUGGGAAUGGCAUUUGGGACUGCAAGGCUCGAGUGCGGCAGAGGAGACUGGAAUUCCUGGUGUAGCAGUGAAAUGCGUAGAUAUCUGGAGGAACAUCGGUGGCGAAGGCGACAUCCUGGACCGGUAUUGACGCUGAGGCGCGAAAGCCAGGGGAGCAAACGGG
rnacentral:rRNA from 1 species